GACGAUUACGAUUACCUCCAAACCUGAAAUAUUAUUUGCAUAUUAUUGGUAAAAUAAAAGGGAUGAUACUAGAAAAAACAAAACAAAACAAAAACUUAAAUAUCACAAUUUAACAAUUUAAAAAUAAUGACUUAAGAUACUCUUGUCCGCCGUUUUAAAAUAUCAGCACCAUGAAAUACAGUAGUAUUACAGUUCUAAAACUUACCAAUGUUGUUUUUCUAAAAAAAAAAAAAAAAAAAACCCAGAAACUAAAUACUUUUACAUGAUAGUUAAAGUAAAACCAUUAUUCACUAAGAGUUUUAUCUGUAUUUCUACUGCAAACAGGGGGUGCAAAGCUUCAACAGUUAAUUAUUAAACUAAAAUUUUAGAUCUAUAAAGGUUAAUCAAGUCAAACCGUCUCGAUACUCAAUACGGCUGAUAGGCUGCUCAAUAAUACCGAUCUGGAUUUGUUUUCUAUAGUUGACAAUCGCAGACGGCAUCGGCACGGCCUGGAUUCAGCGGACAGAGGUACUAAUAAAAUUCUACGAUCUUGCGCAAUAAUAUUUUCUAACCCUUUCUUGUCGAAUUUUCC